GAUGAACGCUGGCGGCGUGCCUAAUACAUGCAAGUCGAGCGAAUGGAUUAAGAGCUUGCUCUUAUGAAGUUAGCGGCGGACGGGUGAGUAACACGUGGGUAACCUGCCCAUAAGACUGGGAUAACUCCGGGAAACCGGGGCUAAUACCGGAUAACAUUUUGAACCGCAUGGUUCGAAAUUGAAAGGCGGCUUCGGCUGUCACUUAUGGAUGGACCCGCGUCGCAUUAGCUAGUUGGGGAGGUAACGGCCCACCAAGGCAACGAUGCGUAGCUGACCUGAGAGGGUGAUCAGCCACACUGUGACUGAGACACGGCCCAGACUCCUACGGGCGGCAGCAGUAGGGAAUCUGCCGCAAUGGACGAAAGUCUGACGGAGCAACGCCGCGUGAGUGAUGAAGGCUUUCGGGUCGUAAAACUCUGUUGUUAGGGAAGAACAAGUGCUAGUUGAAUAAGCUGGCACCUUGACGGUACCUAACCAGAAAGCCACGGCUAACUACGUGCCAGCCGCCGCGGUAA
rnacentral:rRNA from 1 species